UUGCUUCAGCAGCACAUAUACUAAAAUUGGGAUAAUACAGAGAAGAUUAGCAUGGCCCCUGCAUAUGGAUGACAUGCAAAUUCCUAAAGAGUCUGUUUUU
rnacentral:snRNA from 1 species